UUGUUUCCAGGACUUUAGUUUCCUUUUCUCUGCUUCCUGGCCUCUCAGAAGUGGUCUGCCCUAUCUUCCGCACGUUCCUGUCACUGUGAUGUGCUGCCUCACCACAGGACCUUGGCACAGAGCCAGCCCGCCAUGGAUGAAGACCUCUGAAGCCAUGAGCCUAGCAUUAACAGGUGCACAUGGAAGCUUCUAGAAACCCUUAUCUACACUGGAGAAUAAUCAGGACUGAGCAGCCUGGUGCCUUGCUGGACCCGAUUGCCAAAGUCCCUGCAGCUCUCUGAAGGUGGGGGAUUGCAGUGGGCAUCUGCUCUGUGCAGGUAAAUCAAUGAAGGACGAAGCUGUCUGCCUGGGGAGUCUGUGCCCACUGCUCUCCUCCUUGAAGCUGCAGAAAGGGAAUGUCUGACAGCUUGGUGGGGCCCUGGCCUUGGAGGAGACUUGGUCCGGAACAUUACAGGCCUGAAAGUUGGACAGACCAAGAAGAGGGUCAAGAAGAGUCCAUCACGGAGGGGCAUCGUAGCAUCAGAAACAGCUGAGGGCUCAGGUCUUGAACCAUAGGAUAGAAGCAGAGAGUGAACUAGGAAUGAGGACUGGAGUCAGAGCAGGUGGCACACCAAAACAAGCCCAUACCUUACCAUCUGUUAGGAUAAUUUAUUUCUGCUCUAGACUUCCUGGUGGUCUAGCCUUCUCUCUAGCUCAGCAAAGCUGGAGGGCCAGCUCAGCCCAGAAGCCAAAUGCUGACUGCUUCACUCAAGAAAGAAGACCCUUACAGAGGACUAAUGGGAUUUUUUUCCAGGAAGUUUUAUAGCCUUGCCACAGUUUCCUGGAACACCUGGGAGCUUUGCUGUUGCUAUGGAGACAUCAAGCAACCAAGUCACAAGAAGAAUCACAAAUCAUAAGAAGAAUUUCACUGAAGUUUGAAAUUUUUGAUAAGGAGGUUUACCAGCCUAAGCAAACCUGGAAUCUUCCAGAAGAUAUAAUUUGGGUGAGUUGGGUUCUCUACAUUGAAAACAAAACUGUAACAUG
rnacentral:lncRNA from 1 species